rnacentral:rRNA from 1 species
UACGUAGGGGGCAAGCGUUGUCCGGAUUUAUUGGGCGUAAAGAGCGUGUAGGCGGCCAUACAGGUCAGCUGUGAAAACUCGAGGCUCAACCUCGAGACGUCGGUUGAAACCGUAUGGCUAGAGUCCGGAAGAGGAGAGUGGAAUUCCCGGUGUAGCGGUGAAAUGCGCAGAUAUCAGGGAAGAACACCCCGUGGCUAAGGCGGCUCUCUAGUACGGUAACUGGACGCU